rnacentral:lncRNA from 1 species
ACUUAGGAAUGGAGAAGGGCUAGAAGGAGUUGCAGAGGUCAUCCAUAAGACAGAGGACAGCAAGUUGUUCCAUCUGGAUAUACUAGUUCUUCUGGGAACUGCUUUGUGAUGUCAACACCAGCAGACAUUUUUGGAAAUGAAGAAAGAAAUUAGUCAAGAAAUUAAAGUCAAAACAAAUCUAAUAACAAUAAAGUCCCUCCCUCCAUUGAAAUGCCCAACAGUGGGGAAAGUGGAGGAAUGAGGUUGCCAGCCCAGUAAAAAGCUCUGACUCAGAAUCAUUCCUGUCUAAAAGGACUGCAGGGACAAAAAUGGAGAAGAGACUGAGAAAAAGGAGGUCCAGUGGCCGACUAUAGUCUGAGAAGCCCAACAAGCACCUUACUGAUAUAGAUGCAGGCACUUCCAUUCAAUCAUUGAACUGAAGUCAGAGAUCCCUGUGGUUGAAUUAGGGAAAGGCUGGAAGAAGCUGAGAAGAAGGGCGACUCCAUAGGAAGACCAGCAGUCUCAACUGACCUGGACCCCUGAGAUCUCUCAGAUACUGUGCCACCAGGCAGCAUGCAUCAGCUGGUCCAGGGUUCCCAACACAUAUACAGCAGAGGACUGCCUGGUCUGGCCUCAGUGAGAGAAGAUAUGCCUAGCCUAAGCCAGGAAAGGUCACAGAGAUUGGGGAGACCUGGUGUGGUUAGGGAUUUGUGCAGAGGAUAUCUUGGAGACAGGGAGAGGAGGAGUGGAAUGAGAAACUGUGGAAUGGGGGACUGGAAAGGGAGUAUGAACU